UCUCCGUAGGUGAACCUGCGGAGGGAUCAUUACCAGAGAUGGCGGGCCCUCGGGUCCCCGUCCCCAACCCUUUGUCGACCAAAACCUUUUUGCCUCGGGGGCGGAACGUCCGCGUGCGCCCCCGGUGGACCACCAAACUCUGUCUCUGUACGUCGGAGUCUGAAUGAAAAUGAAUCAAAACUUUCAACAACGGAUCUCUUGGUUCUGGCAUCGAUGAAGAACGCAGC
rnacentral:misc_RNA from 1 species